UAAAUUUAAUAUUUUGAAAUAUAAAGAAUUUGGCGGUAUAAUUAUUUUUUAGAGGGGUUUGUUUUUUAAUUCGAUAAUCCACGAUUAACCUUACUUUAAUUUUGUUUAUAUAUUUCCGUUUAGUGUAAUCUUUAAAUUGAAAAUUAACUUUAUUGGUAUUAUAAUCUUAAAAUCAGGUAAAUUAGUAGCAUUUUAAAGGAUAAUAGUGAAUCACAAUUUAUUAAUUUAAAAAAUUGAAUAAUAAUUUUGAAAUAAUUAUUUGAAAUUGAAUUUGAUAGUAAUAUAUUAAUAGAUUGAUUAUUUGAAUAAUAAUAAAUUAUAUGU
rnacentral:rRNA from 1 species